GGGUGCGAUCAUAGCAGCACCAAUGCACCAGAUCCCAAGAGAACUCCGCAGUUAAGCGUGCUUAGGUGAGAGGAGUACUAGGAUGGGUGACCUUCUGGGAAGUCCUCGUCUUGCACCCC
rnacentral:rRNA from 1 species